AUUGAACGCUGGCGGCAUGCUUUACACAUGCAAGUCGAACGGUAACAGGGAGCUUGCUCCGCUGACGAGUGGCGAACGGGUGAGUAAUGCGUCGGAACGUGCCGAGUAGUGGGGGAUAACGCAUCGAAAGGUGUGCUAAUACCGCAUACGAACUGAGGUUGAAAGUGGGGGACCUUCGGGCCUCACGCUAUUCGAGCGGCCGACGUCUGAUUAGCUAGUAGGUGAGGUAAAGGCUCACCUAGGCGACGAUCAGUAGCGGGUCUGAGAGGAUGAUCCGCCACACUGGGACUGAGACACGGCCCAGACUCCUACGGGAGGCAGCAGUGGGGAAUUUUGGACAAUGGGCGCAAGCCUGAUCCAGCCAUGCCGCGUGUCUGAAGAAGGCCUUCGGGUUGUAAAGGACUUUUGUCUGGGAGCAAAUACCCGGUGUUAAUAGCGCCGGGGGCUGAGAGUACCAGAAGAAUAAGCACCGGCUAACUACGUGCCAGCCGCCGCCGUAACAC
rnacentral:rRNA from 1 species